rnacentral:rRNA from 1 species
GGGGGAUAAGCUUCAUUGUCAAGAGGGAAACAGCCCAGAUCACCACUUAAGGCCCCUAAGUAACUACUAAGUGACAAAGGAUGUAUUAGUACAUAGACAACCAGGAGGUUGACUUAGAAGCAGUAACCCUUUAAAAAGUGCGUAAUAGCUUACUGGUCAAGUGCUUUUGCGCCGAAAAUGAAUGGGACUAAGUAGUUUGCCGAAAGUGUGAGAUAAUAUCGGUAGAAGAGCGUUUUGUAUUAGUUAGAAGCAGUAGUGAAAACAGCUGUGGACUAUUCAGAAGUGAGAAUGUUGGCUUAAGUAACGAAAACAUUGGUUGAAAUCCAAUGCCCCGAAAACCUAAGGAUUCCUUCGCAAGGUUCGUCCACGAAGGGUUAGUCAGGACCUAAAGCGAGGUUUAACAGCGUAGUUGAUGGAUAACAGGUUAAUAUUCCUGUACUAUUUUUAAUUUAAUUAUGAGUGACAAAAAAGGCUAUACCAUCCAAAGACUGGUUGUUUUGGUUUAAUUUUACAAGGCUAGGAGAAGCAUUACAAAAAAUGUUUUGAGCUAAGUUCAGAGUACGAGAGAUAUUACGGUAUCAAAAGUGGUUCAUGUCAUGUUUUCAAGAAAAACUCUAGUAAUAUACAAUUAAAAAUACCUGUACCUUAAAUUGACACAGAUAGGAAAGUAGAGAAUACUAAGGGGCGCGAGAUAACUCUUUCUAAGGAACUCGGCAAAAUAACUCUGUAACUUCGGGAGAAAGAGUGCCUCUGCAAAGAGGUCGCAGUGAUCAGGUCCAAGCGACUGUUUAUCAAAAACACAGGUCUCCGCUAAGUUGAAAAACUAUGUAUGGGGGCUGACGCCUGCCCAGUGCCAGAAGGUUAAAGAAAUUGGUUAGCUAACGCGAAGCUGGUGACUGAAGCCCUGGUGAACGGCAGCCGUAACUAUAACGGUUCGAAGGUAGCGAAAUUCCUUGUCGGGUAAGUUCCGACCCGCACGAAAGGCGUAACGAUUUGGAUACUGUCUCAGAAAGAGACUCGGUGAAAUAGAAUUGACUGUGAAGAUGCGGUCUACUUGCACUUGGACAGAAAGACCCUAUGAAGCUUUACUGUAACUUGAGAUUGGUUUUGGGCUUUUUUUGCGCAGUAUAGGUGGGAGGCUUUGAACUUAUUUUUCGGAAGAAAGUGAGCCACAAUGUGAGAUACCACUCUGAAAAAGUUAAAAAUCUAAUAGUAUUUUAUCAAAAUACUUGACAGUUUCAGGCGGGCAGUUUUACUGGGGCGGUAGCCUCCUAAAAGGUAACGGAGGCGUACAAAGGUUUUCUCAGUCUGGACGGAAAUUAGUUGCAGCGUGUAAAGAUAAAAGUAAGCUUGACUGUGAGACUCAAAAGUCGAGCAGAGACUAAAGUCGGUCUUAGUGAUCCGACGGUGCUGAGUGGAAAGGCCGUCGCAUAACUGAUAAAAGUUACUCUAGGGAUAACAGGCUGAUCUCCCCCAAGAGUUCACAUCGACGGGGAGGUUUGGCACCUCGAUGUCGGCUCAUCGCAACCUGGGGCGGUAGUACGUCCCAAGGGUUGGGCUGUUCGCCCAUUAAAGCGGUACGUGAGCUGGGUUCAGAACGUCGAGAGACAGUUCGGUCCAUAUCCGGUGUGAGUGUUAGAGUAUUGAAAGGAGCUUUCCUUAGUACGAGAGGACCGGGAAGGAUACACCACUGAUGUACCAGUUUUUGUGCCAACAGAAUACGCUGGGUAGUUAAGUGUAGAGUGGAUAACUGCUGAAAGCAUAA